UUGUUAUAUUUUAGACUUGUCAGUACUUCAAUAUUGCCCACGGUGUUGGACGUCGUAUUUUAGUGAGUUCACCUUCCUCAAUAACAAAGUGCUGCGAUACAGAUAAUUGUAACAAGGAUCUGUUAUGUCCUGGCGGGAUUUGUGGCGGUAUUCUUAGUACAACUAACACAGCUUGUCUAGAUGAUGAUAUCCCAAUAUGUAAAGAUCCAAACACUGUACGUCUUGUGUGCAAAGAACAUGAUUUGAGACAAAACUGCAAAAAAUCAUGUGGAUUAUGCCCUCCUCCUACUACUCAACAGCCUAUGGUGUGCGAAGAUCACGUGAUUGAUUGUAAUGACCAAUCAUUUCUGUCGGCUGUUUGUGGAAGACCGGAAGCGCAGUAUUUUUGUAAAAAAUCCUGCC